rnacentral:lncRNA from 1 species
AGACAGCCUGCCCAAGCUCUGGGCAAUUCCAAGGCCCACCUGAGGGUGGCGGUGGAGGGCAGGGGACGGGAAGGGGCCCCCACUUACGCCUUCCUCUCCUGGUCCAUCCUGCUGACCUGGCCCCCAAUGAACACCCGGAUCUUGCAUUUGCUCCACCUCUUCUUGCGUCGAAGGAGAUAGGGGAUGAGGAGGGUGAGGCCUGGCAAGGAGGGUCCCCAGAAACCAAGGGGAAAAUUCUCAGG